UGGGGAAUAUUGCACAAUGGGCGCAAGCCUGAUGCAGCCAUGCCGCGUGUGUGAAGAAGGCCUUCGGGUUGUAAAGCACUUUCAGCGAGGAGGAAGGUGGUGAGCUUAAUACGCUCAUCAAUUGACGUUACUCGCAGAAGAAGCACCGGCUAACUCCGUGCCAGCAGCCGCGGUAAUACGGAGGGUGCAAGCGUUAAUCGGAAUUACUGGGCGUAAAGCGCACGCAGGCGGUUUGUUAAGUCAGAUGUGAAAUCCCCGGGCUCAACCUGGGAACUGCAUUUGAAACUGGCAAGCUAGAGUCUCGUAGAGGGGGGUAGAAUUCCAGGUGUAGCGGUGAAAUGCGUAGAGAUCUGGAGGAAUACCGGUGGCGAAGGCGGCCCCCUGGACGAAGACUGACGCUCAGGUGCGAAAGCGUGGGGAGCAAAACAGGAUUAGAUACCCUGGUAGUCCACGCUGUAAACGAUGUCGAUUUUGGAGGUUGUGCCCCUUGAGGCGUGGCUUCCGGAGCUAACGCGUUAAAUCGACCGCCUGGGGAGUACGGCCGCAAGGUUAAAACUCAAA
rnacentral:rRNA from 1 species